rnacentral:rRNA from 1 species
GAUGAACGCUAGCGGCAGGCCUAAUACAUGCAAGUCGAGCGGCAAGUUGAGAAGCAAUUCGAGACCUAGAGCGGCGUACGGGUGCGUAACGCGUAUGCAACCUACCUCAUACAGGGGGAUAGCCCGGAGAAAUCUGGAUUAAUACCCCAUGGUACAUAUUGAAGGCAUCUGAGAUAUGUUAAAGAUUCAUCGGUAGGAGAUGGGCAUGCGUCUGAUUAGCUAGUUGGCGGUGUAACGGACCACCAAGGCGACGAUCAGUAGGGGUUCUGAGAGGAAGGUCCCCCACACUGGCACUGAGAAACGGGCCAGACUCCUACGGGAGGCAGCAGUAGGGAAUAUUGGGCAAUGGUCGGAAGACUGACCCAGCCAUGCCGCGUGCAGGAAGACGGCGUUCUGCGUUGUAAACUGCUUUUAUCUGGGAAGAAAAGGCCCAUGCGUGGGACAUUGCCGGUACCAGAUAAAUAAGCACCGGCUAACUCCGUGCCAGCCGCCGCCGUAAGAC